rnacentral:rRNA from 1 species
GUGGGAUUAGCUAGUUGGUGAGGUAAUGGCUCACCAAGGCGACGAUCCCUAGCUGUUCUGAGAGGAUGAUCAGCCACACUGGGACUGAGACGCGGCCCAGACUCCUACGGGAGGCAGCAGUGGGGAAUAUUGCACAAUGGGGGAAACCCUGAUGCAGCCAUGCCGCGUGUGUGAAGAAGGCCUUCGGGUUGUAAAGCACUUUCAGUAGGGAGGAAAGGGUGUAGUUUAAUACGCUAUAUCUGUGACGUUACCUACAGAAGAAGGACCGGCUAACUCCGUGCCAGCAGCCGCGGUAAUACGGAGGGUCCGAGCGUUAAUCGGAAUUACUGGGCGUAAAGCGUGCGCAGGCGGUUUGUUAAGCGAGAUGUGAAAGCCCUGGGCUCAACCUAGGAAUAGCAUUUCGAACUGGCAAACUAGAGUCUUGUAGAGGGGGGUAGAAUUCCAGGUGUAGCGGUGAAAUGCGUAGAGAUCUGGAGGAAUACCGGUGGCGAAGGCGGCCCCCUGGACAAAGACUGACGCUCAUGCACGAAAGCGUGGGGAGCAAACAGGAUUAGAUACCCUGGUAGUCCACGCCGUAAACGAUGUC